CAGACUCUUCACAACCUGCUCAAACUCUUGGUACAGGACCUCACCACACGGGUCAAGAAGGUUGCUUUGUAGAACUGUCGCAGAAAACCUCACUAAACCACAUGGAGGGGCCUCAAGAUAGUCGUCCAAAUGAAAUCGUACAAAAACCAAACUAGCACAACCCAAACACUAAACUCUCCUGCAGCCUACCAGAGAACCUCUGAGAACAGAGAAUCAGGACAGGAACUCUUACCUUCUGGACAACCAACAUUGGUUCUCAAACAAGAAUACAGAAUGUGUCUGACCAAAAACCUCUAAAGACUCACUACAGCCAAGAUAAAGACACAACUCAGCUGCACCAAAUCCACUAAUCACUGCACACAUUAGGACCAUGUGCUAACUGUGGCUAAAGAACCACAUUUACCAAGACAACUAUCCAGUACAAAGCCAUAAAACACACCAAGAAACACAUUAAAGACGAUUUUACUGCUGGAAGCUGCAAGCCAACGCCUAAAGAACAAACUGAAGCAAUGGAGCUAAACCUGAU
ensembl:lncRNA